GCGCCAGCCUCUCUUCUCCUUACCUCCUCGUUUGCAAAAUACCAGCCUUGGGAGAGAAACUCACGCCUGCUCACCCUCCCUCCCAAAGUGGUGUUUGGGGGAAAGUGAGACGAUCCCAUAGUCUCUACUUCGCCCCCCGCUUCUCCGGGCUCUUCAGCUGCACCAACGCCCCAAGCGACCCUGGGAGCCGAAGAAACCGGUUUUUGAAGCCCAGGUGAACUUCCUGGGGCCGGAGCGCUGGGCGAUGGGAAGGGCUCCUGCCUUCGUGGACCGGAUGUUUUCACAACAGGUGUUUGUCGGUGGGGUGGGGUUGGCCCAAAAGAGAACCGGGGACUGGAAGGGGCGUGAUUCGGGAAGAAAGCAGAAGGCCAGCAAAGCGAGGCGAGACGCUUUGCUGCAGCAGAAAAUGUUUGUUUUGGCAGGGAUCAAUGUGCUGGAAAGAGAAAUAAAAGCACCCCAACUUGAAAUCAAGCUGUACUAGACAAAGAAGCUGAUUAACGAUGGAAGAGAUUUAUGGGGAUUUCAAUCAGAGAAGCUUAUGGGUGUAACAUAUGAAGAUUACUUGACUUGGUGGUUGUGGAUAAUCUUGUUACAUGUCCAGUUUUCACACAUAUGGAAUAAAUGGAACCCACCCCUAUUCAAAGUC